rnacentral:lncRNA from 1 species
CAUUCACUGAGUACUUGUUGUGGACCUGGUUCUGUUCUAUGAAUUAUAACACAUGGAGAAGGGGAGUGAGGAAAGACGAUAUUGGCUCUUCCUUCAAGUAACACAUGUUAUCAGGUGUUGGCAAUAAAAAUGUUGUAUCUGUAUGACAGGUUCAUAACCCUGAAGUCGAGGACACCCCACAUGCUCACCAAAUGAGACUAAAGCAAAACACCUGCUUACCUAACCCCUUUUCUAGUAGAGACCACUGAUGAGGAGUUCUCAUGUCAGCAUUCUAAGAGCUGCAUUUAAGAGUAACCAUGGGACCUCCUUUUAUCUCUCAUUCUAUUUCUGUUGUCAUGGUGUUUCAAAGCAAAUACCUGAAAUGAGUAAAUUUUAAUUCUGAAACAGUUAUGCAGUUUUCCCAAAGUUGUAAUUUAACAGGCAUAAUCAAGGCACUAUAUCAUAGUAAAUGAUGGUUUAUCUGGUGCUCAUCACCUAGAAAUAUUAUUACUAGCGGGUGCUUCUGUGCUUCAAUGGUACAAUGAUAAUUGAUGUUCACAAUGAUUACCCCGAGGCAGUGCAAGUUCCUAAAGUGCUUUGUGGAUCAUACAAAAAAAGAAAAGAAAAAAAGGAAAAGAAAAAAACAGAAAAGCUUCCUUUGUCAUUUUUUGCAUUACAGUUGAACAUAAUACAAUUCUUUGAAUAUUAGUCACCAGUAAUAAAAUAUGUGCUAACAUCACUGAUCAGAGCAUUUCAAUUCCCCAUUAUACACCAUUAUGCCAAAAAAAGGAAUUCUGUACAGGCAUAUAUUCCGUAUCUUUUAUUUCCUUCCAGAAAAGCUCAAGCUAAUUUUACAUAACUGAGUGUCUGCCCAUGAAGAACUCUGAGGGGAAACUGCUUGUGUUAGUUUGUUAUUGCUAUGCAAACUCAGUGGCUUAAAAUAAUAUAAGUUUAUUAUCUUAGAGUCCUGGAGGUGAGAAGUCCAAAAUGGGUCUCACUGGGCUACAGUCCAAAUGUCAGCAGAGCUGAGCUCCUUCUGGUGGUUUGAGGGGGAGAAUCUGUUUCCUUGUCUUUUCCAGUUUCUGGAAGCUGCCUGCAGUCCUUGGCUGUGGCCGCCUUCUCCAUCUUCACACCAGCAGUGUAGUAUCUUCAAGUCUCUCUCUCUAACUACAACCCUCACUUCCAUCUUCACAUUCCCUUGGCACUCUGACCUUCCUGCUUCUCUCUGAUAAAGAUCUUUGUGAUUACAUUGGGCCUAUCCAAAUAAUCUAAACUAAUUUGUUCAUCUUUAGAUUUUAACUUAAUUACAUCUGCAAAGUCCCUUUUGCCAUGUAAGGUAGCAUAUUCACAGGUUUCAGAGGUUCAAAUAUAGACAUCUUUGGGGGGUCAUUAUUCUGUCUAUCACCCUCCUCUUAACGAACUUUUCAUCACAAUGUUAUCCUUUUCUUUCUUUUCUCUUUGACUUUAACUUUUGAAACAAUAUCAUCUUUCUAUAGAUGAUGAGUUAGAGUGAUCCUGAAAUCAAAAUUAUAGAAUUCCAUAAGGUCAUGGGAAUCAAGCUCACACAGAAGCUCUGCUAAUAUUUGUCAGAUUCUCACCUUGCCCUGGUCCAAACCAGCAGGAGACAGGCUCCCCUGGCAAUUGCCCACUCCACUGUGUGUGGCUUACUAACACUUAUGCCCUAGAGAGGGCAGUUGCUUAGUCUUCUGUUUCCUAGAGCUUGCAUUUAAAGAUGAGAAGAACUUGAAGUUAGAGCAUAAAAGGAAAAAAAAAGAUGAAGAAUAUUUUCUUGGUGCCAGACACUGGAGAACACACGGGGAUAUUAGGAAGGAGAAAUGCAAAGGCAGAAAGCCAGGCUGAAAGAAGCUUUGGAUGCCAUCUGACAGGCCUUUUGAAUGCGCAGUUUUGGUUGUCUUCCCAGCUGCACCACAUACCCCUACAUCCCUCUGUACAUUGCUGGAGGAGCAGGAAAGCAUCCCUUGGAAAAAAAAAUCCCAGUGCACUCAGAGAAUAAGGGGAAGUCAUGAUUAAGGUUAUGAGAGAGAUACUAGCCAAGGGGUAGUGGAGGUUACAGCUGUGUGGACAAAAUGUCCAGACAGGAAGAAAGUACAUGCAAAUGGAACCAAAAUGGGCUUCUGUUUCUCAGCUGUAGACAAAUGUCCUCUCUGCUAACCUUUUGCCCUCAGCUUACUUUGGCUGCUUGCCUCUGAAUUAUGUUAAAUGUUUCUCUUUUAUCUCAUAUUUGGGUUUUCAUAAGCCCUGAUAUUUGCACAACCAUUAGGGUUUAAAUAGGAUACCUGACACAUCUAUUAUGAGCAAUGUUUGAAGGAACAAAAUCCAUCAUUUCAAGACUGGUUAAGAAGAAGUGCUAUAACUAAAGUGCUAGGGUGAAGGAAAGAUGCAAACAUGUUAUUGUUAACUGUGAUAGUAUUUUUUUAAUAUUUUACUUCAGAAAUUUUAAUGGAGGAACAAUAUAGCCACUACCUUUAUCAAGAGCUUAGCAGGGCAGUUUUCUGGCAUUAUAGAGAAGACAACCAGGGUUGGCUCUACUGAUAGGCCAUUCAGACUUUGGGGUGAGGAGCUAGCAAUAGGGUGGCAGUACUGGUUCCAGUUGGUCCUUUGGUUAUGGCUGCAUAUUCAGAGUUUAAGAGAGGAUUUACCUCUAAGAUAAAGCUAUUAUAAAAGAUGAUGAGAAAAGUAGCUACUGUCAUUCAGACUGCAUCUCUUUGUACACUAGGCAACAUUUUUCCUCCAACAUUUAGUAGCAGCAUCUGAUGUAGCAGGUACAGCAUUAGAUGCUGUUCUUUCCAGUGAUAAGUAUUCAAUGACAAAGUAUUAUAACCCCACCCCCACUCCCCACCAAUAUUUUUUUUUUUCUCUUUUCAUGGUAGAAAUGCAUUUGAAGGGAAAGGAGGUGGGGAUGAACUUUAGUGUUACCAGAUUGGUAGGAACGUGGGGAAAGGUCCCUAACUGCUAUACUUCGAAUACUAAGGACAGCAGCUUUCUCCACCUGUAGUCCAGGGCUUUUCAAAAUUUAAUGAGCACCUGGGGAUCUUGAGGAAAUGCAGAUUUUCAUCCAGUGGGUCAGGGAUGGGACCCAAUAUUCUGCAUUUCCUUGUCUCUUCUACCACUUCUUCCAGGAGCAAUAUUCUGUAUUUCCACAGUGAUGCCAAUUCUGAUAGUCAGAGUCCAACCUUGUAGCCAAGGAAAAACCUUAUUUCUCAAAACUAUUAUUAUUUUCAUUCUCUGAACCACCUCUCAAUCUCUAGGCUGAAACAGAAAAAUUGAAAAUAUAAAACAUUGUAAUAAUAUUCGACAAUUUUUAUUUCCUUCCCUGAACAUCUCUUGGAACUUUUCCUCUGGCCCCUUUGCUUCUGACAACCCUGGGAUAAUAUAUGAUACGUAUUCUAUUUUUAAAUGUAUUUUAAACAUAGACUACUUGGAAUGGUGGCAAAAAGUAUUUGAAGGAGUGAGAUGUUGAGAGAUGUGGACUCUGUAUUUCUGUUUUACUAGGCCACGUACAAAGUUUCUGAUUAAGUUAUUGCCUCUCCCCACCCAAGGUUCCACCAUGUCUUGGAGCAUUGAUGUCCAAACUAGUUCCCCAAGAACACAUCUAGGCUGAUUCACUUCUCUUCAGGCAGAGUGCUCUGGGAAUCUGAUGACACGUGUGUAGGGUAGGAGUGGGGUUGUAGGGUGAUGCUAGGGCAUUUGUCCAACACUUGCAAGAAUAGCCAGCACGUUAGGUUGUGCAGAUCUUCUCAAUGACUUAAAGGCUGACCAUGUCAGUUACUGUGAGCAUCUCCAGGAUUUUUAAAGUUUGGGUUGUGGAGGCCAGUAAUCAUGUGGUUAAAUUUUGUAGUCAUUUUCUAAAUGAUCCAUUUGUUUCAAUAAUAAAGUUACUAAAAAAGAAUUUGUAUUUACUUGAUUAGGCCAUUAUGGAGCCAUCUGUAUUGGGAAAAUAUGUUUCAAAUCUAAAUUUAAGAUAUUUUAUACACACAAACAGCUGUCUAUAUACCUGCUACUGAUAUACUGAGACUAUACUGGGAAAGUAUAUAACUUUCUCUGUGAGUGUAUGUGUGUAUAAUGCAGUAGAUACACUGUUAUUUACUACAGUAUAUAUAGUAGUUUAUACAUUGGCAUAUAUAAUAUCAAUAUACAAGUCCUAUUCAUCCUUGAGGUUUCAGCGUAAUACUUCUCAGCCUAAAGGGUUAAAUCCUCAGUGUGCCUUUUGAGUUUUUCAGUGAUAGAAAACUACGGAGGUUGUGUAAACCUUUGCAGAAAUGAAACGCAUAGAAACUCUUUCUGUGACCCUGAGCAAUCCUGACAACACAUGAUGCACAUUUGAGAAAGGGACUUCCUCAUGAAUACACCCAAGUUUCAACAAACUCAGG